UUAAGUUAUUAAGGGCGCACGGUGGAUGCCUUGGCACUAGAAGCCGAUGAAGGACGUUACUAACGACGAUAUGCUUUGGGGAGCUGUAAGUAAGCUUUGAUCCAGAGAUUUCCGAAUGGGGAAACCCAGCAUGAGUUAUGUCAUGUUAUCGAUAUGUGAAUACAUAGCAUAUCAGAAGGCACACCCGGAGAACUGAAACAUCUUAGUACCCGGAGGAAGAGAAAGAAAAUUCGAUUCCCUUAGUAGCGGCGAGCGAAACGGGAAGAGCCCAAACCAACAAGCUUGCUUGUUGGGGUUGUAGGACACUCUAUACGGAGUUACAAAGGACGACAUUAGACGAAUCAUCUGGAAAGAUGAAUCAAAGAAGGUAAUAAUCCUGUAGUCGAAAAUGUUGUCUCUCUUGAGUGGAUCCUGAGUACGACGGAGCACGUGAAAUUCCGUCGGAAUCUGGGAGGACCAUCUCCUAAGGCUAAAUACUCUCUAGUGACCGAUAGUGAACCAGUACCGUGAGGGAAAGGUGAAAAGCACCCCGGAAGGGGAGUGAAAUAGAACCUGAAACCGUGUGCUUACAAGUAGUCAGAGCCCGUUAAUGGGUGAUGGCGUGCCUUUUGUAGAAUGAACCGGCGAGUUACGAUUUGAUGCAAGGUUAAGCAGUAAAUGUGGAGCCGUAGCGAAAGCGAGUCUGAAUAGGGCGUUUAGUAUUUGGUCGUAGACCCGAAACCAGGUGAUCUACCCUUGGUCAGGUUGAAGUUCAGGUAACACUGAAUGGAGGACCGAACCGACUUACGUUGAAAAGUGAGCGGAUGAACUGAGGGUAGCGGAGAAAUUCCAAUCGAACCUGGAGAUAGCUGGUUCUCUCCGAAAUAGCUUUAGGGCUAGCCUCAAGUGAUGAUUAUUGGAGGUAGAGCACUGUUUGGACGAGGGGCCCCUCUCGGGUUACCGAAUUCAGACAAACUCCGAAUGCCAAUUAAUUUAACUUGGGAGUCAGAACAUGGGUGAUAAGGUCCGUGUUCGAAAGGGAAACAGCCCAGACCACCAGCUAAGGUCCCAAAAUAUAUGUUAAGUGGAAAAGGAUGUGGCGUUGCCCAGACAACUAGGAUGUUGGCUUAGAAGCAGCCAUCAUUUAAAGAGUGCGUAAUAGCUCACUAGUCGAGUGACACUGCGCCGAAAAUGUACCGGGGCUAAACAUAUUACCGAAGCUGUGGAUUGUCCUUUGGACAAUGGUAGGAGAGCGUUCUAAGGGCGUUGAAGCAUGAUCGUAAGGACAUGUGGAGCGCUUAGAAGUGAGAAUGCCGGUGUGAGUAGCGAAAGACGGGUGAGAAUCCCGUCCACCGAUUGACUAAGGUUUCCAGAGGAAGGCUCGUCCGCUCUGGGUUAGUCGGGUCCUAAGCUGAGGCCGACAGGCGUAGGCGAUGGAUAACAGGUUGAUAUUCCUGUACCACCUAUAAUCGUUUUAAUCGAUGGGGGGACGCAGUAGGAUAGGCGAAGCGUGCGAUUGGAUUGCACGUCUAAGCAGUAAGGCUGAGUAUUAGGCAAAUCCGGUACUCGUUAAGGCUGAGCUGUGAUGGGGAGAAGACAUUGAGUCUUCGAGUCGUUGAUUUCACACUGCCGAGAAAAGCCUCUAGAUAGAAAAUAGGUGCCCGUACCGCAAACCGACACAGGUAGUCAAGAUGAGAAUUCUAAGGUGAGCGAGCGAACUCUCGUUAAGGAACUCGGCAAAAUGACCCCGUAACUUCGGGAGAAGGGGUGCUCUUUAGGGUUAACGCCCAGAAGAGCCGCAGUGAAUAGGCCCAAGCGACUGUUUAUCAAAAACACAGGUCUCUGCUAAACCGUAAGGUGAUGUAUAGGGGCUGACGCCUGCCCGGUGCUGGAAGGUUAAGAGGAGUGGUUAGCUUCUGCGAAGCUACGAAUCGAAGCCCCAGUAAACGGCGGCCGUAACUAUAACGGUCCUAAGGUAGCGAAAUUCCUUGUCGGGUAAGUUCCGACCCGCACGAAAGGCGUAACGAUUUGGGCACUGUCUCAACGAGAGACUCGGUGAAAUCAUAGUACCUGUGAAGAUGCAGGUUACCCGCGACAGGACGGAAAGACCCCGUGGAGCUUUACUGUAGCCUGAUAUUGAAAUUCGGCACAGCUUGUACAGGAUAGGUAGGAGCCUUUGAAACGUGAGCGCUAGCUUACGUGGAGGCGCUGGUGGGAUACUACCCUAGCUGUGUUGGCUUUCUAACCCGCACCACUUAUCGUGGUGGGAGACAGUGUCAGGCGGGCAGUUUGACUGGGGCGGUCGCCUCCUAAAAGGUAACGGAGGCGCUCAAAGGUUCCCUCAGAAUGGUUGGAAAUCAUUCAUAGAGUGUAAAGGCAUAAGGGAGCUUGACUGCGAGACCUACAAGUCGAGCAGGGUCGAAAGACGGACUUAGUGAUCCGGUGGUUCCGCAUGGAAGGGCCAUCGCUCAACGGAUAAAAGCUACCCCGGGGAUAACAGGCUUAUCUCCCCCAAGAGUUCACAUCGACGGGGAGGUUUGGCACCUCGAUGUCGGCUCAUCGCAUCCUGGGGCUGUAGUCGGUCCCAAGGGUUGGGCUGUUCGCCCAUUAAAGCGGUACGCGAGCUGGGUUCAGAACGUCGUGAGACAGUUCGGUCCCUAUCCGUCGUGGGCGUAGGAAAUUUGAGAGGAGCUGUCCUUAGUACGAGAGGACCGGGAUGGACAUACCUCUGGUGUACCAGUUGUCGUGCCAACGGCAUAGCUGGGUAGCUAUGUGUGGACGGGAUAAGUGCUGAAAGCAUCUAAGCAUGAAGCCCCCCUCAAGAUGAGAUUUCCCAACUUCGGUUAUAAGAUCCCUCAAAGAUGAUGAGGUUAAUAGGUUCGAGGUGGAAGCAUGGUGACAUGUGGAGCUGACGAAUACUAAUCGAUCGAAGACUUAAUCAA
rnacentral:rRNA from 284 species